rnacentral:rRNA from 1 species
AUGAACGCUAGCGGCAGGCUUAACACAUGCAAGUCGAGGGGCAGCAUAAUGGAUAGCAAUAUCUAUGGUGGCGACCGGCGCACGGGUGCGUAACGCGUAUGCAACCUACCUUUAACAGGGGGAUAACACUGAGAAAUUGGUACUAAUACCCCAUAAUAUCAUAGAAGGCAUCUUUUAUGGUUGAAAAUUCCGAUGGUUAGAGAUGGGCAUGCGUUGUAUUAGCUAGUUGGUGGGGUAACGGCUCACCAAGGCGACGAUACAUAGGGGGACUGAGAGGUUAACCCCCCACACUGGUACUGAGACACGGACCAGACUCCUACGGGAGGCAGCAGUGAGGAAUAUUGGUCAAUGGACGCAAGUCUGAACCAGCCAUGCCGCGUGCAGGAUGACGGCUCUAUGAGUUGUAAACUGCUUUUGUACGAGGGUAAACGCAGAUACGUGUAUCUGUCUGAAAGUAUCGUACGAAUAAGGAUCGGCUAACUCCGUGCCAGCAGCCGCGGUAAUACGGAGGAUUCAAGCGUUAUCCGGAUUUAUUGGGUUUAAAGGGUGCGUAGGCGGUUUGAUAAGUUAGAGGUGAAAUUUCGGGGCUCAACCCUGAACGUGCCUCUAAUACUGUUGAGCUAGAGAGUAGUUGCGGUAGGCGGAAUGUAUGGUGUAGCGGUGAAAUGCUUAGAGAUCAUACAGAACACCGAUUGCGAAGGCAGCUUACCAAACUAUAUCUGACGUUGAGGCACGAAAGCGUGGGGAGCAAACAGGAUUAGAUACCCUGGUAGUCCACGCAGUAAACGAUGAUAACUCGUUGUCGGCGAUACACAGUCGGUGACUAAGCGAAAGCGAUAAGUUAUCCACCUGGGGAGUACGUUCGCAAGAAUGAAACUCAAAGGAAUUGACGGGGGCCCGCACAAGCAGUGGAGUAUGUGGUUUAAUUCGAAGCAACGCGAAGAACCUUACCAGGUCUUGACAUCCGAUGCAUAGCACAGAGAUGUGUGAAAUCCUUCGGGACAUCGAGACAGGUGGUGCAUGGUUGUCGUCAGCUCGUGCCGUGAGGUGUCGGCUCAAGUGCCAUAACGAGCGCAACCCCUGUCCAUAGUUGCCAUCAGGUCGUGCUGGGCACUCUGUGGAGACUGCCGCCGUAAGGUGUGAGGAAGGUGGGGAUGACGUCAAAUCAGCACGGCCCUUACGUCCGGGGCUACACACGUGUUACAAUGGUAGGUACAGAGGGCAGCUACCCAGCGAUGGGAUGCGAAUCUCGAAAGCCUAUCUCAGUUCGGAUUGGAGGCUGAAACCCGCCUCCAUGAAGUUGGAUUCGCUAGUAAUCGCGCAUCAGCCAUGGCGCGGUGAAUACGUUCCCGGGCCUUGUACACACCGCCCGUCAAGCCAUGGGAGCCGGGGGUGCCUGAAGUUCGUGACCGCAAGGAGCGACCUAGGGCAAAACUGGUGACUGGGGCU